CCGGAUCCUGCGAAAAUGAUACUGAUUGAUCAAAAUUCUGGGUGACCCCCAGUUAUACGCGGAGGCCUACUGAGUGGCAAUAAGUGUACUGUUGUACGAUCCUGUCUCCCACGGACCGAAAGGGUGUGAACCAACAUGUCGGACUUACCUCAAUAUCCCCGACCGAUUUUCAGGCGAGGAUUAAGGCCGCCAUGACAGCUCCGGGGGAAGAAGUUCUCUCCAGUAUGCUGGCUAACAACCCAUCUGACAGAGCGGGUGCAACGGCAGCAACACCAAUGGAAGAUUGAGAUACCGACGUUAGGUCGGACACCCAUCAUCAGGG